GCUACUGAGGCUGCGGAGCCAGGACCUGACGGUGGGGUGGCUGCGUGCCUUCUGCAGGUCCCCCACAUUGGGACCCAGCAGCGCAAUCACGGUGC
rnacentral:pre_miRNA from 1 species